rnacentral:rRNA from 1 species
AACGAACGCUGGCGGCAUGCCUAACACAUGCAAGUCGAACGAGACCUUCGGGUCUAGUGGCGCACGGGUGCGUAACGCGUGGGAAUCUGCCCUUGGGUUCGGAAUAACAGUUAGAAAUGACUGCUAAUACCGGAUAAUGUCUUCGGACCAAAGAUUUAUCGCCCAGGGAUGAGCCCGCGUAGGAUUAGCUAGUUGGUGAGGUAAAGGCUCACCAAGGCGACGAUCCUUAGCUGGUCUGAGAGGAUGAUCAGCCACACUGGGACUGAGACACGGCCCAGACUCCUACGGGAGGCAGCAGUGGGGAAUAUUGGACAAUGGGCGAAAGCCUGAUCCAGCAAUGCCGCGUGAGUGAUGAAGGCCUUAGGGUUGUAAAGCUCUUUACCCGGGUAUGAUAAUGACAGUACCGGGAGAAUAAGCCCCGGCUAACUCCGUGCCAGCAGCCGCGGUAAU